rnacentral:SRP_RNA from 2 species
GCCAGGUGUUGUGGUGGGUGCCUGUAAUCCCAGCUACUCAGGAGGCUGAGGCAGGAGAAUCGCUUGAACCCGGGAGGCGGAGGUUGCAGUGAGCCAAGAUUGUGCCACUGCACUCCAGCCUGGGUGACAGAGUGAGACUCUGUCUCAA